rnacentral:rRNA from 1 species
ACUAGAGUAGCACUCGCAUAUCAAUAAGCGGAGGAAAAGAAACUAACAAGGAUACCCCUAGUAACGGCGAGUGAAGCGGGAAGAGCUCAAAUUUGAAAUCUUAAAGGGUUUCCCUUUACGAAUUGUAGUUUAAAGAAGUGUUUUCUGUUGAGGUUUUGGUAAAAGUUCUUUGGAAUAGGACAUCAUAGAGGGUGAGAAUCCCGUAUUUGACCUUUACUUUCAACUUUGUGAUACACUUUCAAAGAGUCGGAUUGUUUGGGAAUGCAGUCCAAAAUGGGUGGUAAAUUUCAUCUAAAGCUAAAUAUUGGCGAGAGACCGAUAGCGAACAAGUACCGUGAGGGAAAGAUGAAAAGAACUUUGAAAAGAGAGUUAAACAGUACGUGAAAUUGUCAAAAGGGAAGCGUUUGACACCAGUGUUGUUUUUCUGAAAAUCAAUUAAAGAACUGUUUAUGCUAAGUUGUUUAGACUUUAUCAGCUAAUCUGCUUAGUUUUGAGCUUUUCUUUAAUGCACUUUUCAGUUAACAAGUCAACAUCAAUUUCUUUUGCUGUAAAAAAGCUUGAGGAAGGUGGCUUGAGAUUCGUCUUAAGUGUUUAUAGCCUCUUGCCUAUGCAGUCGGAGAGAUUGAGGUCUGCAGCGUAGAUCCUUCGGGGCUAAAUGCAUUUGUGCUAAGUUAUAGCAUUUUAUAGACAACUUGUUGACUAUGAUUUGUCUUGUAGCUUACUCGCUUAUGUUAUUUUACCUACGCUUAGGAUGUUGAACUACUGAGACAUAGA